rnacentral:rRNA from 1 species
AUGUUCCGACCUGCACGAAUGGCGUAACGACUUCCCCGCUGUCUCCAAGAUCGACUCAGCGAAAUUGAAUUGCCUGUCAAGAUGCAGGCUUCCCGCGGUUAGACGGAAAGACCCCGUGCACCUUUACUACAGCUUCACACUGGCAUUAGGCCGAACAUGUGCAGGAUAGGUGGUGGGCUUUGAAGCGUGAACGCCAGUUUGCGUGGAGCCUCCCUUGAGAUACCACCCUUGCUCUGCUUGAUGUCUAACCGCGGUCCAUUAUCUGGAUCCGGGACCCUGUGUGGCGGGUAGUUUGACUGGGGCGGUCGCCUCCUAAAGAGUAACGGAGGCGCGCGAUGGUAGGCUCAGGCCGGUCGGAAAUCGGUCGUUGAGUGCAAUGGCAAAAGCCUGCCUGACUGCGAGUCUGACAAGACGAGCAGAGACGAAAGUCGGUCAUAGUGAUCCGGUGGUCCCUCGUGGAAGGGCCAUCGCUCAACGGAUAAAAGGUACGCCGGGGAUAACAGGCUGAUACUGC